GAGAGGACUGUGUUAGGUAGAGACUGGAGGAGAGGACCAGAGAGGACUGUGUUAGGUAGAGACUGGAGGAGAGGACCAGAGAGGACUGUGUUAGGUAGAGACUGGAGGAGAGGACCAGAGAGGAGAGUGUUAGGUAGAGACUGGAGGAGAGGACCAGAGAGGACUGUGUUAGGUAGAGACUAGAUGAGAGGACCAGAGAGGAGUGUGUUAGGUAGAGACUGGAGGAGAGGACCAGAGAGGAGUGUGUUAGGUAGAGACUGGAGGAGAGGACCAGAGAGGAGUGUGUUAGGUAGAGACUGGAGGAGAGGACCAGAGAGGACUGUGUUAGGUAGAGACUGGAGGAGAGGACCAGAGAGGAGUGUGUUAGGUAGAGACUGGAGGAGAGGACCAGAGAGGAGUGUGUUAGGUAGAGACUGGAGGAGAGGACCAGAGAGGACUGUGUUAGGUAGAGACUGGAGGAGAGGACCAGAGAGGACUGUGUUAGGUAGAGACUGGAGGAGAGGACCAGAGAGGACUGGUGUUAGGUAGAGACUGGAGGAGAGGACCAGAGAGGACUGGUGUUAGGUAGAGACUGGAGGAGAGGACCAGAGAGGACUGUGUUAGGUAGAGACUGGAGGAGAGGACCAGAGAGGACUGUGUUAGGUAGAGACUGGAGGAGAGGACCAGAGAGGACUGGUGUUAGGUAGAGACUGGAGGAGAGGACCAGAGAGGAGUGUGUUAGGUAGAGACUGGAGGAGAGGACCAGAGAGGACUGUGUUAGGUAGAGACUGGAGGAGAGGACCAGAGAGGAGUGUGUUAGGUAGAGACUGGAGGAGAGGACCAGAGAGGACUGGUGUUAGGUAGAGACUGGAGGAGAGGACCAGAGAGGAGUGUGUUAGGUAGAGACUGGAGGAGAGGACCAGAGAGGACUGUGUUAGGUAGAGACUGGAGGAGAGGACCAGAGAGGACUGGUGUUAGGUAGAGACUGGAGGAGAGGACCAGAGAGGAGUGUGUUAGGUAGAGACUGGAGGAGAGGACCAGAGAGGAGUGUGUUAGGUAGAGACUGGAGGAGAGGACCAGAGAGGACUGUGUUAGGUAGAGACUGGAGGAGAGGACCAGAGAGGACUGUGUUAGGUAGAGACUGGAGGAGAGGACCAGAGAGGACUGUGUUAGGUAGAGACUGGAGGAGAGGACCAGAGAGGAGUGUGUUAGGUAGAGACUGGAGGAGAGGACCAGAGAGGACUGUGUUAGUUAGAGACUGGAGGAGAGGACCAGAGAGGACUGUGUUAGGUAGAGACUGGAGGAGAGGACCAGAGAGGACUGUGUUAGGUAGAGACUGGAGGAGAGGACCAGAGAGGACUGUGUUAGGUAGAGACUGGAGGAGAGGACCAGAGAGGAGUGUGUUAGGUAGAGACUGGAGGAGAGGACCAGAGAGGAGUGUGUUAGGUAGAGACUGGAGGAGAGGACCAGAGAGGAGUGUGUUAGUUAGAGACUGGAGGAGAGGACCAGAGAGGAGUGUGUUAGGUAGAGACUGGAGGAGAGGACCAGAGAGGAGUGUGUUAGGUAGAGACUGGAGGAGAGGACCAGAGAGGAGUGUGUUAGGUAGAGACUGGAGGAGAGGACCAGAGAGGAGUGUGUUAGGUAGAGACUGGAGGAGAGGACCAGAGAGGAGUGUGUUAGGUAGAGACUGGAGGAGAGGACCAGAGAGGACUGUGUUAGGUAGAGACUGGAGGAGAGGACCAGAGAGGACUGUGUUAGGUAGAGACUGGAGGAGAGGACCAGAGAGGACUGUGUUAGUUAGAGACUGGAGGAGAGGACCAGAGAGGACUGUGUUAGGUAGAGACUGGAGGAGAGGACCAGAGAGGACUGUGUUAGGUAGAGACUGGAGGAGAGGACCAGAGAGGACUGUGUUAGGUAGAGACUGGAGGAGAGGACCAGAGAGGACUGUGUUAGGUAGAGACUGGAGGAGAGGACCAGAGAGGACUGUGUUAGUUAGAGACUGGAGGAGAGGACCAGAGAGGAGUGUGUUAGUUAGAGACUGGAGGAGAGGACCAGAGAGGAGUGUGUUAGGUAGAGACUGGAGGAGAGGACCAGAGAGGACUGUGUUAGUUAGAGACUGGAGGAGAGGACCAGAGAGGACUGUGUUAGGUAGAGACUGGAGGAGAGGACCAGAGAGGACUGUGUUAGGUAGAGACUGGAGGAGAGGACCAGAGAGGACUGUGUUAGGUAGAGACUGGAGGAGAGGACCAGAGAGGAGUGUGUUAGGUAGAGACUGGAGGAGAGGACCAGAGAGG